GAAAUUACGCCUUCAUGAAGCUGGAAUUGCUAGUAAUGGCAGGUCAGCAUACUGCCGUGAAUACGUUCCCGGGCCUUGUACACACCGCCCGUCACACCAUGAGAGUUGGGAAUACCCGAAGCCUGUGAGCUAACUUAUAGAGGCAGCAGUCGAAGGUAGAAUCAAUGAUUGGGGUGAAGUCGUAACAAGGUAAC
rnacentral:rRNA from 1 species